GGUUAAUAUCAAAGAUAUACAUGACCUGGGGAAUCUGCACGUGAUACCAGUUGAGCCCCAGAAAGGCAGUGCAACCUUGGAAGUGCUGAGCAGGGAGAAGGCUCUACAGGACAAGCAGCUGGAGUGAGAAUCAAGACAACCAGAUCACAGGACCAGACCUUCCAUAAUCCACAUGAUACUGGUGGAAAUUUUCCUGGACCUGAUCAAGCGCGUAGCCUGGUUGCUGUGUUGGAUACCGCCCUGCAUGUGUCCUCCUUACAACUCAUUCUUUCAGAACACAGCCUAGGUUAAUAUCAAAGAUACACGUGACCUGGGGAAUCUGAAUGUGAUACCAAUUGAGCCCCAGAAAGGCAGUGCGACCUCAGAAGUGCUGAGCAGGGAGAAGGCUCUGCAGGACGAGCAGCUGGAGUGAGAAUCAAGACAACCACAUCACAGGACCAGAUCAUCCACAAUC